AGUUAAUUUCUAAACCAGACCCUAGGAAAGAGGAUCCAUAUCACACAGGAAGGGCACUCAUGGCCCUGUUCUGUUCAGGCUCCGAAACCAGGGCAGUGACUCGGG